AGUCGAUUGCGCGGUUGCGGGAAAGAGAUUUCACGAGGAAAGUCCGAGCUCCAUACGGCAGAAUGCCGCCUAACGGACGGUGAAGGCAACUUCAAGGAAAGUGCAACAGAAAAUUACCGCAAACGUUUUCGUUUGUAAGGAUGAAAAGGCGAGGUAAGAGCUCACCGGCGCCACGGUAACGGGGCGCGCUGUGUAAACCCCAUUCGGAGCAAGAUAGGAACGGUUCAUAAGAUAGCCGGUCGGAAUCGUUCGCAAAACGUCGCUUGAUCUUGUCGGCAACGGCAAGGGUAGAUAGAUAACCGCGUUAAAUGACAGAACUCGGCUUACAGGUCGGCUCGA
rnacentral:RNase_P_RNA from 1 species